rnacentral:rRNA from 1 species
AGGACGAACGCUGGCGGCGUGCUUAACACAUGCAAGUCGAGCGGAAAGGCCCUUCGGGGUACUCGAGCGGCGAACGGGUGAGUAACACGUGAGUAAUCUGCCCCUAGCUCUGGGAUAGCUCCGGGAAACCGGGAUUAAUACCAGAUACGACCACUUUAGACAUCUUCUGUGGUGGAAAGAACUUCGGCUAGGGAUGAACUCGCGGCCUAUCAGCUUGUUGGUGAGGUAACGGCUCACCAAGGCGACGACGGGUAGCCGGCCUGAGAGGGCGACCGGCCACACUGGGACUGAGACACGGCCCAGACUCCUACGGGAGGCAGCAGUGGGGAAUAUUGCGCAAUGGGCGAAAGCCUGACGGAGCGACGCCGCGUGCACGAGGAAGGUCUUCGGAUCGUAAAGUGCUGUCGAGGGGGACGAUUAUGACGGUACCCUGGAGGAAGCCCCGGCUAACUACGCGCCAGCAGCCGC